CUCUCUCUCUCUCUCUCUCAGUCUGUGUCCUCCAGACGAUCCUCAUGCUCUUGCUUGUUUAAUCCCAUACGGUUACGUGUCUUUGGAGGAUAUGUGUAGGUUAUAACAGUUCAUGAUGUUCAUUUAUCUCCUGAAAUAACUUACUGCACAGGGUUAAAUUCUGUAAGGAUUUAUUAUGCCAUCUAAAGGGGAUUUGUGGUGUUUUGUUGGUCUUCUGGGAAUCUUGCUGGGUAAAAUCUCAGGAUUGAUGGAAAAGUGUCGGGUCAUAUAAAUGGAUCUGAGAGACGAGAAAAACAGGAGUUCUUGAGAGGUCCUAAUGUUUGUGGAUCUCGACUAAACACUUACUGUUGUCCAGGCUGGAAGAGGCUGCCGGUGGGGAAUCUCUGUGUCGUGCCUAUUUGCCAGAACGGCUGUGGUGAUGGUUUCUGUUCCCGACCCAACAUGUGUACCUGUCCCAACGGUCAGAUCGCCUCAACAUGUGCCACCAAAUCACUCCAGAGUUGCUCUAUUAGGUGUCUGAACGGAGGAUUGUGUAAAGAUGAUCGCUGUCAGUGUUUAAAGGGAUAUACAGGAACCUUCUGUGGACAACGUG